GAUGAACGCUGGCGGCAUGCCUAAUACAUGCAAGUCGAGCGAACAAAUGAAGCUCUUGCCUCUCUUCAGUGGGGGGCGGAUGGGUAAGUAAUAGGAAGCUACCCGGUAGAUAGGGCUAGGGUAAGGUCGGGAGCGCGAAUAUAGUACACGAUCAGAGAUAGAAAGGGGGGGAUCAACAGAGAAAGCGGGAUUUGAUGACCCUUGUAGGUGGAACCGCGCCGGAUUAGCUAGUUGGUACGGUAACGGCUUACCAAGGCAACGAUGCGUAGCUGACCUGAGAGGGUGAUCGGCCACACUGGAACUGAGACACGGUCCAGACUCCUACGGGAGGCAGCAGUAGGGAAUAUUCGGCAAUGGGCGAAAGCCUGACGGAGCAACGCCGCGUGAGUGAUGAAGGUCUUCGGAUCGUAAAACUCUGUUAUUUGGGAAGAAGAAAUGUGUAAGUAACUAUGCACGUCUUGACGUUACCUAAUCAGAAAGCCACGGCUAACUACGUG
rnacentral:rRNA from 1 species